AUACGGAGGAUCCGAGCGUUAUCCGGAUUUAUUGGGUUUAAAGGGUGCGCAGGCGGCCAUUUAAGUCAGCGGUUAAAUCGUGGGGCUCAACCCCAUUCUGCCGUUGAUACUGGGUGGCUUGAUUGCGGUCGAGGUUGGCGGAAUUCGUUGUGUAGCGGUGAAAUGCAUAGAUAUGACGAAGAACACCGAUUGCGUAGGCAGCUGACCAGACCGCAAAUGACGCUCAUGCACGAAAGUGCGGGGAUCGAACAGGAUUAGAUACCCUGGUAGUCCGCACAGUAAACGAUGGAUACUCGCUGUCGGCGAUAUACGGUCGGUGGCCAAGCGAAAGCGUUAAGUAUCCCACCUGGGGAGUACGCCGGCAACGGUGAAACUCAAAUGAAUUGGCGGGG
rnacentral:rRNA from 1 species